rnacentral:rRNA from 1 species
UACGGGGGGGGCAAGCGUUGUUCGGAAUUACUGGGCGUAAAGGGCUCGUAGGCGGCUCGCUAAGUCAGACGUGAAAGCCCUCGGCUUAACCGGGGAACGGCGUCUGAGACUGGCAAGCUUGAAUCCGGGAGAGGGAUGCGGAAUUCCAGGUGUAGCGGUGAAAUGCGUAGAUAUCUGGAGGAACACCGGUGGCGAAGGCGGCAUCCUGGACCGGCAUUGACGCUGAGGAGCGAAAGCCAGGGGAGCAAACGGG